GGGUGAGUAACGCGUGAGCAACCUGCCUAUGACAGUGGGAUAGCCUCGGGAAACCGGGAUUAAUACCGCAUAAAAUCGUAGAAACACAUGUUUUAACGGUCAAAGAUUUAUCGGUCAUAGAUGGGCUCGCGUCUGAUUAGCUAGUUGGUGAGAUAACAGCCCACCAAGGCGACGAUCAGUAGCCGGUCUGAGAGGAUGAACGGCCACACUGGAACUGAGACACGGUCCAA
rnacentral:rRNA from 1 species